UUUUUUAAUUUAUUUUGGGAUGUGUAAAAUGAUAGAUGACAAAAAUAUAGGGGAAGAGGAGAAAAGAACAGAAAAUAAUUUGGCUACCUUGGUUCUUGGUUUUUCUAAUUCUUACCCUUGGCUGAGACUCUCAAUUACUCACAUUCUUUGCCUUACUUGUUAGUUAGUACUUUCUAGACAUUGCGGCUAAAAGAUUAAUCUAGUAGGAAAAUUGAAGAGAAGGAGAAACAUAGAGGAUUAUUCAAAUAGGUAAAUUAAGAUUUUUCUAAUUCUUUCUUUUGAAUUAAAAUUAGAUGGUUUUCUUUUUGCUAAUUGUAUCUUUGUGUGGAUUAUAAGAUUCUUUUAUUCCAAAGAAUCCCUCACCUUCACUUUUUGAAAAGGCUUUUAUCCGUUUAUUACUUUAUGAAUAGGUGGGAAAAAGAUUUGGGGUUAGAUACUAAUGAACAAAAGAAUGCAUCUUGGAGUCAAUUUAUUGCUCCAGGAGUGGAAAUUGGAAUUGCAGUUCAUCACCAAAGAUUUCCUUUUCAUUGCUCACGAAGAAAGGUAGCAAAGAUACAAAGGGGUGAGAGGAAAAAAACAAUUAUCUUUGAGGCUCGACGUGUAAUUUACCGCAAAGUUUUUCUUUCCGUAAACAUAGACUUAAAGAAAGUAUUAAAAGGAAGUAUUACGCUAUAAAUCCAUAUAAG
rnacentral:lncRNA from 1 species